GGGUUGUGAGGUUAAGCGACUAAGCGUACACGGUGGAUGCCCUGGCAGUCAGAGGCGAUGAAGGGCGUGCUAAUCUGCGAUAAGCGCCGGUAAGGUGAUAUGAACCGUUAUAACCGGCGAUACCCGAAUGGGGAAACCCAGUGUGAUUCGUCACACUAUCAUUAACUGAAUCCAUAGGUUAAUGAGGCGAACCGGGGGAACUGAAACAUCUAAGUACCCCGAGGAAAAGAAAUCAACCGAGAUUCCCCCAGUAGCGGCGAGCGAACGGGGAGGAGCCCAGAGCCUGAAUCAGCAUGUGUGUUAGUGGAAGCGUCUGGAAAGGCGCGCGAUACAGGGUGACAGCCCCGUACACAAAAGCGCAUGUGCUGUGAGCUCGAUGAGUAGGGCGGGACACGUGGUAUCCUGUCUGAAUAUGGGGGGACCAUCCUCCAAGGCUAAAUACUCCUGACUGACCGAUAGUGAACCAGUACCGUGAGGGAAAGGCGAAAAGAACCCCGGCGAGGGGAGUGAAAAAGAACCUGAAACCGUGUACGUACAAGCAGUGGGAGCACAGGUUUACCUGUGUGACUGCGUACCUUUUGUAUAAUGGGUCAGCGACUUAUAUUCUGUAGCAAGGUUAACCGAAUAGGGGAGCCGGAGGGAAACCGAGUCUUAACCGGGCGUUAAGUUGCAGGGUAUAGACCCGAAACCCGGUGAUCUAGCCAUGGGCAGGUUGAAGGUUGGGUAACACUAACUGGAGGACCGAACCGACUAAUGUUGAAAAAUUAGCGGAUGACCUGUGGCUGGGGGUGAAAGGCCAAUCAAACCGGGAGAUAGCUGGUUCUCCCCGAAAGCUAUUUAGGUAGCGCCUCGUGAAUUCAUCUCCGGGGGUAGAGCACUGUUUCGGCUAGGGGGCCAUCCCGGCUUACCAACCCGAUGCAAACUGCGAAUACCGGAGAAUGUUAUCACGGGAGACACACGGCGGGUGCUAACGUCCGUCGUGAAGAGGGAAACAACCCAGACCGCCAGCUAAGGUCCCAAAGUCAUGGUUAAGUGGGAAACGAUGUGGGAAGGCCCAGACAGCCAGGAUGUUGGCUUAGAAGCAGCCAUCAUUUAAAGAAAGCGUAAUAGCUCACUGGUCGAGUCGGCCUGCGCGGAAGAUGUAACGGGGCUAAACCAUGCACCGAAGCUGCGGCAGCGACGCUUAUGCGUUGUUGGGUAGGGGAGCGUUCUGUAAGCCUGUGAAGGUGUGUCGUGAGGCAUGCUGGAGGUAUCAGAAGUGCGAAUGCUGACAUAAGUAACGAUAAAGCGGGUGAAAAGCCCGCUCGCCGGAAGACCAAGGGUUCCUGUCCAACGUUAAUCGGGGCAGGGUGAGUCGACCCCUAAGGCGAGGCCGAAAGGCGUAGUCGAUGGGAAACGGGUUAAUAUUCCCGUACUUGGUGUUACUGCGAAGGGGGGACGGAGAAGGCUAUGUUGGCCGGGCGACGGUUGUCCCGGUUUAAGCGUGUAGGUGUGUGUUCCAGGUAAAUCCGGUUCACUUUAACACUGAGGCGUGAUGACGAGGCACUACGGUGCUGAAGUAACAAAUGCCCUGCUUCCAGGAAAAGCCUCUAAGCAUCAGGUAACAUCAAAUCGUACCCCAAACCGACACAGGUGGUCAGGUAGAGAAUACCAAGGCGCUUGAGAGAACUCGGGUGAAGGAACUAGGCAAAAUGGUGCCGUAACUUCGGGAGAAGGCACGCUGACACGUAGGUGAAGUGAUUUACUCACGGAGCUGAAGUCAGUCGAAGAUACCAGCUGGCUGCAACUGUUUAUUAAAAACACAGCACUGUGCAAACACGAAAGUGGACGUAUACGGUGUGACGCCUGCCCGGUGCCGGAAGGUUAAUUGAUGGGGUCAGCGCAAGCGAAGCUCCUGAUCGAAGCCCCGGUAAACGGCGGCCGUAACUAUAACGGUCCUAAGGUAGCGAAAUUCCUUGUCGGGUAAGUUCCGACCUGCACGAAUGGCGUAAUGAUGGCCAGGCUGUCUCCACCCGAGACUCAGUGAAAUUGAACUCGCUGUGAAGAUGCAGUGUACCCGCGGCAAGACGGAAAGACCCCGUGAACCUUUACUAUAGCUUGACACUGAACAUUGAGCCUUGAUGUGUAGGAUAGGUGGGAGGCUUUGAAGUGUGGACGCCAGUCUGCAUGGAGCCGACCUUGAAAUACCACCCUUUAAUGUUUGAUGUUCUAACGUGGACCCGUUACCCGGGUUGCGGACAGUGUCUGGUGGGUAGUUUGACUGGGGCGGUCUCCUCCUAAAGAGUAACGGAGGAGCACGAAGGUUGGCUAAUCCUGGUCGGACAUCAGGAGGUUAGUGCAAUGGCAUAAGCCAGCUUGACUGCGAGCGUGACGGCGCGAGCAGGUGCGAAAGCAGGUCAUAGUGAUCCGGUGGUUCUGAAUGGAAGGGCCAUCGCUCAACGGAUAAAAGGUACUCCGGGGAUAACAGGCUGAUACCGCCCAAGAGUUCAUAUCGACGGCGGUGUUUGGCACCUCGAUGUCGGCUCAUCACAUCCUGGGGCUGAAGUAGGUCCCAAGGGUAUGGCUGUUCGCCAUUUAAAGUGGUACGCGAGCUGGGUUUAGAACGUCGUGAGACAGUUCGGUCCCUAUCUGCCGUGGGCGCUGGAGAACUGAGGGGGGCUGCUCCUAGUACGAGAGGACCGGAGUGGACGCAUCACUGGUGUUCGGGUUGUCAUGCCAAUGGCACUGCCCGGUAGCUAAAUGCGGAAGAGAUAAGUGCUGAAAGCAUCUAAGCACGAAACUUGCCCCGA
rnacentral:rRNA from 2 species